GACCAGGAGACUGGUGAGUCCUUGUGGAUUUCUUCCCUGCUCAAGUGCAUAAAGCAGGUGUAUUGCACAGGUAAUGAUGAGCAGUGCGAAGAUGUGACUCCAAAGCCUGGAGAAGGACAGCCCAGCAUCCCUGCAAGAGAUCCAACUGUCUUCUUUUCUGCAGAGGUCCAUAAUUUACAUGGACCUGACAAAGAAUAUUGUAACUUGCAGAAAUUAUCUUCAGUUCAAAUCCUUCAUUUUGGGGGUUUAAAUAACUUGCCCAAGAUGUCGAGGGAGCGGAAAUACUUGCUGGUCUUGCAGCGGCUGUGGAGCCUGGAAUCCUGCCAAGAAGAGCAUGUGUGAGAGAUCAGAAUGUUUGCUUACAUUCCUCCUGUGAAGGGAGUUGGGAAAUAACCUAAGAAGCCCAAUCCAAAAACAAAGAUGUACCAUCCAGUCUUCUCUGUGAGAACCAAACCACAAACCAUCUGAAUGUUCCAAAAGUGUUUUGAUGAUGUAUUGAUGUAUUUUAAAUUAUCCUGAAAAUGUUCUUGGCAGAUGCUUAAACGUGUAAUUACUGAGAUGAUGUAGAAAUACCAAGUGUUUAUUAAAACAAUACAGAGUAAUACAAA